rnacentral:rRNA from 1 species
GAUGAACGCUGGCGGCGUGCUUAACACAUGCAAGUCGAACGAAGCACUUUAUUUGAUUUCCUUCGGGACUGAUUAUUUUGUGACUGAGUAGCGGACGGGUGAGUAACGCGUGGGUAACCUGCCUUGUACAGGGGGAUAACAGUUGGAAACGGCUGCUAAUACCGCAUAAGCGCCCAGCAUCGCAUGAUGCAGUGUGAAAAACUCCGGUGGUAUAAGAUGGACCCGCGUUGGAUUAGCUAGUUGGUGAGGUAACGGCCCACCAAGGCGACGAUCCAUAGCCGACAGGAGAGGGUGACCGGCCACAUUGGGACUGGGACACGGCCCAAACUCCUACGGGAGGCAGCAGUGGGGAAUAGUGCACAAUGGGCGAAAGCCUGAUGCAGCGACGCCGCGUGAGCGAAGAAGUAUUUCGGUAUGUAAAGCGCUAUCAGCAGGGAAGAUAAUGACGGUACCUGACUAAGAAGCACCGGCUAAAUACGUG